UACGUAGGGGGCAAGCGUUGUCCGGAUUUAUUGGGCGUAAAGAGCGUGUAGGCGGUUAGGUAGGUCCGUUGUGAAAACUCGAGGCUCAACCUCGAGACGCCGAUGGAAACCAUCUAACUAGAGUCCGGAAGAGGAGAGUGGAAUUCCUGGUGUAGCGGUGAAAUGCGCAGAUAUCAGGAGGAACACCGGUGGCGAAGGCGGUUCUCUGGGCCAGUACUGACGCUGAGGAGCGAAAGCGUGGGUAGCAAACAGG
rnacentral:rRNA from 1 species